UACAGAGGGUGCGAGCGUUAAUCGGAAUUACUGGGCGUAAAGCGUGCGUAGACGGUUAUCUAAGUCGGAUGUGAAAGCCCCGGGCUCAACCUGGGAAUUGCAUUCGAGACUGAAUAGCUAGGGUGCGGUAGAGGGAAGCGGAAUUUCCGGUGUAGCGGUGAAAUGCGUAGAUAUCAGAAGGAACAUCAGUGGCGAAAGCGGCUUCCUGGACCAGCACCGACGUUCAGGCACGAAAGCGUGGGGAGCAAACAGG
rnacentral:rRNA from 1 species